rnacentral:rRNA from 1 species
GAUGAACGCUGGCGGCGUGCCUAAUACAUGCAAGUCGAGCGAACAGACGAGGAGCUUGCUCCUCUGACGUUAGCCGCGGACGUGUGAGUAACACGUGUAUAACCUACCUAUAAGACUGGGAUAACUUCGGGAAACCGGAUCUAAUACCGGAUAAGAUAUUGAACCGCAGGGUUCAAUAGUGAAAUACGGUUUUUCUGUCACUUAUAGAUGGAUCCGCGCGGCAUUAGAUAGUUGGUAAGUUAACGGCUUACCAAGGCAACGAUGCGUAGCCGACCUGAGAGGGUGGUCGGCCACAUUGGAACUGAGACACGGUCAAGACUCCUACGGGAGGCAGCAGUAGGGAAUCUUCCGCAAAGGGCGAAAGCCUGACGGAGCAACGCCGCGUGAGUGAUGAAGGUCUUCGGAUCGUAAAACUCUGUUAUUAGGGAAGAACAACUGUGUAAGUAACCAUGCACGUCUUGACGGUACCUAAUAAGAAAGCACCGGCUAACUACGUG